GCCUCCUUAUCAGAACGUUACCAAUUUCCCAGGAAUCCGUGAUUGGACACUGUCUAUUAUUGUAUUUCUUUGUUUAAUAAUUUAAUUGUACGGACUCGUGUCAUCUCCCCUUAGCGACUGGACAUUUAUGAGCAGAAAAGGCCGUUGCUUUCUCCUGGUUGUCGGCUGGCGUGGGCCGUGUCUUGAUGUGAUUUUCACGUUCGAACUGACUAAAGUGCCCCUUUUGUGAAUGGCUCCACUUCGAUCCAAAAAAUUUACGCAAAGUGGUGAACUUUCGCUUGCCGAAAUUUUGGCGAGAGAUUUAACUAUGUGGGAGUUUUCCUUGCAAUUUUGACCACCCAAAAGAAAUUUAAGAGAAUUUGGGUUUUGGGUUGGACCUCGUUAUGUCUUUGCCAUAAUCACAGUCUUAAAUCCCAAUUAGGUCCUUCUACCCACAAAUAGGUUCGACCUCCAAAAAAUCAACGUCGCCCACUCUGUGCUAAUGUGAAUGAAUAUUGCCGAUCUAUAAGAAACUCUUCCUUACACUACAAAGGGGAAUAAAUUGUGAGAUCUUAAAAGAGCGAUUGCAUCUCUGAAGCACAUUAUAUUUUCUAUUGAACAUAGAGAAUUACAUUAAAUUUUACUUUAAAACUAAUGUGGAAUUCCUCCUCUCUUGUCCAAAGUGCUCCACCUUAGGUACGGUUCACCAUAUCAGAUUGAGUAUCUGAAUUAAUCCCUCAUGAGCUUUUUAUGCUCAGAAGACUACUUAACCUCGUCUUUUACUCCCGC
rnacentral:lncRNA from 1 species